rnacentral:rRNA from 1 species
AACGAACGCUGGCGGCGCGCCUAAUACAUGCAAGUCGAGCGAGAAGGUGUAGCAAUACACUUGUAAAGCGGCGAACGGGUGAGGAAUACAUGGGUAACCUACCCUCAAGUGGGGAAUAACUAGCCGAAAGGUUAGCUAAUACCGCGUACGCUUCCGGGACUGCGGUUCCGGAAGGAAAGCGAUACUGUGAGUAUCGCGCUCUUGGAUGGGCUCAUGUCCUAUCAGCUUGUUGGUGAGGUAACGGCUCACCAAGGCUUCGACGGGUAGCUGGUCUGAGAGGACGAUCAGCCACACUGGCACUGCGACACGGGCCAGACUCCUACGGGAGGCAGCAGUAAGGAAUAUUGCGCAAUGGACGACAGUCUGACGCAGCGACGCCGC